rnacentral:rRNA from 1 species
AACUGAAGAGUUUGAUCAUGGCUCAGAUUGAACGCUGGCGGCAGGCUUAACACAUGCAAGUCGAGCGGGGGAAGGUAGCUUGCUACUGGACCUAGCGGCGGACGGGUGAGUAAUGCUUAGGAAUCUGCCUAUUAGUGGGGGACAACAUCUCGAAAGGGAUGCUAAUACCGCAUACGUCCUACGGGAGAAAGCAGGGGAUCUUCGGACCUUGCGCUAAUAGAUGAGCCUAAGUCGGAUUAGCUAGUUG